rnacentral:lncRNA from 1 species
UAGAAAUACCUCUCAGAAAGGAAGAAUGGAGGAAGAAAUCAACGAUAAGAUGAUGUCAACCAUUGAGGGCCUGAGUUCAGCCAAACCAUGGUGCGGUCAAAAAGACGAUUUCCGUGGACUGUGUGGGUUUUUGCUGUGCUUUGUCGAAACAGGACUGGAAAAAGAGUAUCGCACGAUUCCUAUUCCCAAACUGAGGGGUUAUUUUGUGUGUGCUGGCAUUGUUCUGCUGUGCAUGUUUACAGUACAGAUAUGCAUUACAUCAGGGUAAGUCUUGACUUUAUUUUUAUUAUGCCAUCAAUCCAGUUUGUGUCUUCUUUGAACCCUAACAAUUGUCUACGCAUCCUAUUAAAUCAAUUAAAUUGGCAGUACUUUCUUUCCUGCAGAGAUAUAUUUUAAGAAGUGAUUGGAGAGCCGUUUGUCUGAAAUAUUAUAGGGUCUCCUGCUUGAGCUGGGGGUUGGACUAGAAGACCUCCAAGGCCCCUUCCAACUCUGUUAUUCUAUAAGUCUUAUUUUCGCAUGUUCAGAGGCUUCUCU